UGUCUGUAAAAGGCAAGCUAUAAUUUGUUUUCCACUUCUUUUCUGCCUUCUACCUGCUUUUUGUUUUUCAUUGUAGUCAUUGCAGGAGUUCCAGGAAAAGUCCAAUGCGAAAAGUGAAGCAGAGAUUAAAUAAAAAGUAGGAGGCAGCUAUUAGAGAUGAAGAAAUACAUGCAAGAUUGCACUUCACUGAGAGCAAUGUGGAAAUGUGUGUAGCUGAUCGUGUUUCAUGUGAGGAUGCAGGAACGUGAAUAGUGGUAGGUCAGCAGGAAACAGCAAUUGUAAGAGAUGGCAACAAGAUAAAACAGCUAAUGGAGGUGAAAAGUGGCAGUCAGUCAGCACUGAGAGGCUCAUAACGGUCAGGCAGUUUGGGGCUUAGAACCUGCCAUCACUCUUUGGAAUUUGACAGCAGCCACAUGGAAUUUUCUUGGCCCAUGAUGCUGAGCCCUGAUGUUUCUGAGAUCUAAAGGGGCUGUCAAGAGCUAUUUAAAGCCCAUGGGAAUUUUGUUUGUUUUUUUCCAACUGUAUGACUUGGGAAAUAAAAGCAGUUAGUACAAC
rnacentral:lncRNA from 7 species